rnacentral:rRNA from 1 species
GAUGAACGCUGGCGGCGUGCCUAAUACAUGCAAGUAGAACGCUGAAGGAGGAGCUUGCUCUUCUGGAUGAGUUGCGAACGGGUGAGUAACGCGUAGGUAACCUGCCUGGUAGCGGGGGAUAACUAUUGGAAACGAUAGCUAAUACCGCAUGACAACAGUUAUUGCAUGAUAACUGUUUAAAAGGGGCAACUGCUCCACUACCAGAUGGACCUGCGUUGUAUUAGCUAGUUGGUGAGGUAACGGCUCACCAAGGCGACGAUACAUAGCCGACCUGAGAGGGUGAUCGGCCACACUGGGACUGAGACACGGCCCAGACUCCUACGGGGGGCAGCAGUAGGGAAUCUUCGGCAAUGGACGGAAGUCUGACCGAGCAACGCCGCGUGAGUGAAGAAGGUUUUCGGAUCGUAAAGCUCUGUUGUAAGAGAAGAACGAGUGUGAGAGUGGAAAGUUCACACUGUGACGGUAUCUUACCAGAAAGGGACGGCUAACUACGUG